rnacentral:lncRNA from 1 species
CAGCCCCACCCCCCAAGGCUAUAGCCCACCCGUUUUUGUGGCCUUUUUCCGCUGGACGAACUUGGCGCCCCGGCCUUCGGGCAGUUAUUUUUGGGUGAGGCUUUGCCCGCGACCUAGUUUUGGCCCACGGAGGCCCCUCGCAAAGUCUCGCGGCAUUCCGAGUCCGAUGGACGAAGUUGGCCAGCCCCACCCCCCAAAGCUAUAGCCCACCCGUUUUUGUGGCCUUUUUCCACUGGACGAACUUGAAACCCCGGCCUUCGGGCGGUUAUUUUUGGGCGCGGCUUUGCCCGCGGCCUAUUUUUGGCACACGGAAGCCCCUCGCAAAGUCUCACGGCAUUCCGAGUCCGGCGGACGAAGUUGGCCAGCCCCACCCCCCAAGGCUAUGCCCACCCGUUUUUGUGGCCUUUUUCCGCUGGACGAACUUGGCGACCCGGCCUUCGGGCGGUUAUUUUUGGGCACGGCUUUGCCCGGGGCCUAUUUUUGGCACACGGAGGCCCCUCGCAAAGUCUCGCGGCAUUCCGAGUCCGGCGGACGAAGGUGGCCAGCCCCACCCCCCAAGGCUAUAGCCCACCCAUUUUUGUGGCCUUUUUCCGCUGGACGAACUUGGCGCCCCGGCCUUCGGGGGGUUAUUUUUGGGUGCGGCUUUUGCCCGGGGCCUAUUUUUGGCACACGGAGGCCCCUCGCAAAGUCUCGCGGCUUUCCGAGUCCGGCGGACGAAGUUGGCCAGCCCCACCCCCCAAGGCUAUAGCCCACCCGUUUUUGUGGCCUUUUUCCGCUGGACGAACUUGGCGCCCCGGCCUUCGGGCGGUUAUUUUUGGGCGUGGCUUUGCCCGCGGCCUAUUUUUGGCACAUGGACGCCCCUCGCAAAGUCUCGCGGCAUUCCGAGUCCGGCGGACGAAGUUGGGCAGCCCCACCCCCCAAGGCUAUAGCCCACCCGUUUUUGUAGCCUUUUUCCGCUGGACGAACUUGGCGCCACGGCCUUCGGGCGGUUAUUUUUGGGCGCGGCUUUUACCACAGCCUAUUUUUGGCACAUGGAAGCCCCUCGUAAAGUCUCGCGGCAUUCUGAGUCCGUCGGACGAAGUUGGCUAGCCCCACCCCCCAAGGCUAUAGCCCACCCGUUUUUGUGGCCUUUUUCCGUGGGACGAACUUGGCGCCCCGGCCUUCGGGCGGUUAUUUUUGGGCUCGGCUUUGCCCGCGGCCUAUUUUUAGCGGACGGAGGCCCCUCACAAAGUCUCGCGGCAUUCCGAGUCCGGCGGACGAAGUUGGCCAGCCCCACCCCCCAAGGCUAUAGCCCACCCGUUUUUGUGGCCUUUUUCCGCAGGACGAGCUUGGCGCCCCGGCCUUCGGGCGGUUAUUUUUGGGCGUGGAUUUUCCCACGGCCUAUUUUUGGCACACGGAGUCCCCUCGAAAAGUCUCGCGGCAUUCCGAGUCCGGCGGACGAAGUAGGCCGGCAUCACCCCCCAAGGCUAUAGCCCACCCGUUUUUGUGGCCUUUUUCCGCGGGACGAACUUGGCGCCCCGUCCGUCGGGUGGUUAUUUUUGGGUGCGGCAUUGCCCGCGGCCUAUUUUUGGCACACGGAGUCCCCUUGCAAAGUCUCGCGGCAUUCCGAGUCCGGCGGACGAAGUGGGCCAGCAUCACCCCCCAAGGCUAUAGCCCACCCGUUUUUGUGGCCUUUUUCCGCUUGUCGAACGUGGUGCCCCGGCCUUCGGGUGGUUAUUUUUGGGCGCGGCUUUGCCCGCGGCCUAUUUUUGGCACACAGAGUCCCCUCGCAAAGUCUCGCGGCAUUCCGAGUCCGGCGGACGAAGUUGGCCAGCCCCACCCCCCAAGGCUAUAGCCCACCCGUUUAUGUGGCCUUUUUCCGCUCGACGAACUUGGCACCCCGGCCUUCUGGCCGUUAUUUUUGGCACAUCGAGGACCCUCGCAAAGUCUCGGGGCAUUCCGAGUCCGGCGGACGAAGUUGGCCAACCCCACCCCCCAAGGCUAUAGCCCACCCGUUUUUAUGGCCUUUUUCCGCUGGACGAACUUGGCGCCCCGGCCUUCGGGCGGUUAUUUUUGGGCGCAACUUUGCCCGCGGCCUAUUUUUGGCACACGGUGGCUCCUCGCAAAGUCUCGCGGCAUUCCGAGUCCGGCGGACGAAGUUGGCCAGCCCCACCCCCCAAGGCUAUAGCCCACCCGUUUUUGUGGCCUUUUUCCGCUGGACGAACUUGGCGACCCGGCCUUCGGGCGGUUAUUUUUGGACGCGGAUUUGCCCGCGGCCUAUUUGUGGCACAUGGCGGCCCCUCGCAAAGGCACGCGGCAUUCAUAGUCCGGCGGACGAAGUUGGACUGCCCCACCCCCCAAGGCUAUAGCCCACCCGUUUUUGUGGCCUUUUUCCGCUGGACGAAGUUGGCGCCCCGGCCGUCAGGUGGUUAUUUUUGGGCGCGGCUUUGCCCGCGGCCUAUUUUUGUCACAUGGAGGCCCCUCACAAAGUCUCGCGGCAUUCCGAGUCCGGCGGACGAAGUUGGCCAGCCCCACCCCCCAAGGCUAUAGCCCACCCGAUUUUGUGGCCUUUUUCCGCUGGACGAAAUUGGCGCCCCGGCCUUCGGGGGGUUAUUUUUGGGCGCGGCUUUGCCCGUGGCCUAUUUUUGGCACACGGAGGCCCCUCGCAAAGUCUCGCGGCAUUCCGAGUCCGGCGGACGAAGUUGGCCAGCCCCACCCCCCAAGGCUAUAGCCCACCCGUUUUUGUGGCCUUUUUCCGCUGGACGAACUUGGCGCCCCGGCCUUCGGGGGGUUAUAUUUGGGCGCGGCUUUGCCCGUGGCCUAUUUUUGGCCACGGAGGCCCCUCGCAAAGUCUCGCGGCAUUCCGAGUCCUGCGGACGAAGUUGGCCAGCCCCACCUCCCAAGGCUAUAGACCACCCGUUUUUCUGGCCUUUUUCCGCUGGACGAAGUUGUCGCCCCGGCCUUCGGGCGGUUAUUUUUGGGCGCGGAUUUGUCCGCGGCCUAUUUUAGGCACACGGAGGCCCCUCAAAAAGUCUCGCGGCAUUCCGAGUCCGGCGGACGAAGUGGGCCAGCAUCACCCCCCAAGGCUAUAGCCCACCCGUUUUUGUGGCUUUUUUCCGUGGGACGAACUUGGCGCCCCGGCCUUCGGGUGGUUAUUUUUGGGUGCGGCUUUGCCCGGGGCCUAUUUUUGGCACACGGAGGCCCCUCGCAAAGUCUCGCGGCUUUCCGAGUCCGGCGGACGAAGUUGGCCAGCCCCACCCCCCAAGGCUAUAGCCCACCCGUUUUUGUGGCCUUUUUCCGCUGGACGAACUUGGCGCCCCGGCCUUCGGGCGGUUAUUUUUGGGCUCGGCUUUGCCCGCGGCCUAUUUUUAGCGGACGGAGGCCCCUCACAAAGUCUCGCGGCAUUCCGAGUCCGGCGGACGAAGUUGGCCAGCCCCACCCCCCAAGGCUAUAGCCCACCCGUUUUUGUGGCCUUUUUCCGCAGGACGAGCUUGGCGCCCCGGCCUUCGGGCGGUUAUUUUUGGGCGUGGAUUUUCCCACGGCCUAUUUUUGGCACACGGAGUCCCCUCGAAAAGUCUCGCGGCAUUCCGAGUCCGGCGGACGAAGUAGGCCGGCAUCACCCCCCAAGGCUAUAGCCCACCCGUUUUUGUGGCUUUUUUCCGCGGGACGAACUUGGCGCCCCGUCCGUCGGGUGGUUAUUUUUGGGUGCGGCAUUGCCCGCGGCCUAUUUUUGGCACACGGAGUCCCCUUGCAAAGUCUCGCGGCAUUCCGAGUCCGGCGGACGAAGUGGGCCAGCAUCACCCCCCAAGGCUAUAGCCCACCCGUUUUUGUGGCCUUUUUCCGCUUGUCGAACGUGGUGCCCCGGCCUUCGGGUGGUUAUUUUUGGGCGCGGCUUUGCCCGCGGCCUAUUUUUGGCACACAGAGUCCCCUCGCAAAGUCUCGCGGCAUUCCGAGUCCGGCGGACGAAGUUGGCCAGCCCCACCCCCCAAGGCUAUAGCCCACCCGUUUAUGUGGCCUUUUUCCGCUCGACGAACUUGGCACCCCGGCCUUCUGGCCGUUAUUUUUGGCACAUCGAGGACCCUCGCAAAGUCUCGGGGCAUUCCGAGUCCGGCGGACGAAGUUGGCCAACCCCACCCCCCAAGGCUAUAGCCCACCCGUUUUUAUGGCCUUUUUCCGCUGGACGAACUUGGCGCCCCGGCCUUCGGGCGGUUAUUUUUGGGCGCAACUUUGCCCGCGGCCUAUUUUUGGCACACGGUGGCUCCUCGCAAAGUCUCGCGGCAUUCCGAGUCCGGCGGACGAAGUUGGCCAGCCCCACCCCCUAAGGCUAUAGCCCACCCGUUUUUGAGGCCUUUUUCCGCUGGACGAACACGGCGCCCCGGCCUUCGGGCGGUUAAUUUUGGGCACGGCUUUGCCCGCGGCCUAUUUUUGGCACACGGAGGCCCCUCACAAUGUCUCGCGGCAUUCCGAGUCCGGCGGACGAAGUUGGCCAGCAUCCCCCCCCAAGGCUAUAGCCCACCCGUUUUUGUGUCCUUUUUCCGCUGGACGAACUUGGCGCCCCGGCCUUCGGGCGGUUAAUUUUUGGGCGCGGCUUUUCCCGCGGCCUAUUUUUGGCACACGGAGGCGCCUCGCAAAGUCUCGCAGCAUUCCGAGUCCGGCGGACGAAGUGAGCCAGCAUCACCCCCCAAGGCUAUAGCCCACCCGUUUUUGUGGCUUUUUUCCGCUGGACGAACUUGGCGCCCCAGAACUUGCUGCUGCUACCUAUCUAUAAAAUGCACUACAAAAUUUUUUCACUAGAUAUCAUAAAAUUUUGAACCACGAACCUUUUAAACAUCCCACGGCCUAUUUUUGGCACACGGAGGCCCCUCGCAAAGUCUCGCGGCAUUCCGAGUGCGGCGGACGAAGUUGGCCAAGCCCACCCCCCAAGGCUAUAGCCCACCCGUUUUUGUGGCCUUUUUCCACUGGACGAACUUGGCGCCCCGGCCUUCGGGCGGUUAAUUUUGGGCGCGGCUUUGCCCGCGGCCUAUUUUUGGCGCAUGGAGGCCCCUCGCAAAGUCUCGCGGCAUUCCCAGUCCGGCGGACGAAGUUGGCCAGCCCCACCCCCCAAGGCUAUAGCCCACCCGUUUUUGUGUCCUUUUUCCGCUGGACGAACUUGGUGCCCCGGCCUUCGGGCCGUUAUUUUUGCGCGGGGUUUUGCCCGUGGCCUAUUUUUGGCACACGGAGGCCCCUCGCAAAGUCUCGCGGCAUUCCGAGUCCGGUGGACGAAGUUGGCCAGCAUCACCCCCAAAGGCUAUAGCCCACCCGUUUUUGUGGCCUUUUUCCGCUGGACGAACUUGGCGCCCCGGCCGUCGGGCGGUUAAUUUUGGGCGCGGCUUUGCCCGCGGCCUAUUUUUGGCACACGGAGGCCCCUCGCAAAGUCUCGCGGCAUUCCGAGUCCGGCAGACGAAGUGGGCCAGCGUCACCCCCCAAGGCUAUAGCCCACCCGUUUUUGUGGCCUUUUUCCGCUGGACGAACUUGGCGCCCCGGCCUUCGGGCGGUUAAUUUUGGGCGCGGCUUUGUCCGAGGCCUAUUUUUGGCACACGGAGGCCCCUCGCAAAGUCUCGCGGCAUUCCCAGUCCGGCGGAUGAAGUUGGCCAGCCCCACCCCCCAAGGCAAUAGCCCACCCGUUUUUGUGGCCUUUUUCCGCUGGACGAACUUGGCGCCCUGGCCUUCGGGCGGUUAAUUUUGGACGCGGCUUUGCCCGCGGCCUAUUUUUGGCACACGGAGGCCCCUCGCAAAGUCUCGCGGCAUUCCGAGUCCGGCGGACGAAGUUGGCCAGCCCCACCCCCCAAGGCUAUAGCCCACCCGUUUUUGUGUCCUUUUUCCGCUGGACGAACUUGGUGCCCCGGCCUUCGGGCCGUUAUUUUUGCGCGGGGUUUUGCCCGUGGCCUAUUUUUGGCACACGGAGGCCCCUCGCAAAGUCUCGCGGCAUUCCGAGUCCGGUGGACGAAGUUGGCCAGCAUCACCCCCAAAGGCUAUAGCCCACCCGUUUUUGUGGCCUUUUUCCGCUGGACGAACUUGGCGCCCCGGCCGUCGGGCGGUUAAUUUUGGGCGCGGCUUUGCCCGCGGCCUAUUUUUGGCACACGGAGGCCCCUCGCAAAGUCUCGCGGCAUUCCGAGUCCGGCAGACGAAGUGGGCCAGCGUCACCCCCCAAGGCUAUAGCCCACCCGUUUUUGUGGCCUUUUUCCGCUGGACGAACUUGGCGCCCCGGCCUUCGGGCGGUUAAUUUUGGGCGCGGCUUUGUCCGAGGCCUAUUUUUGGCACACGGAGGCCCCUCGCAAAGUCUCGCGGCAUUCCGAGUCCGGUGGACGAAGUUGGCCAGCAUCACCCCCAAAGGCUAUAGACCACCCGUUUUUGUGGCCUUUUUCCGCUGGACGAACUUGGCGCCCCGGCCGUCGGGCGGUUAAUUUUGGGCGCGGCUUUGCCCGUGGCCUAUUUUUGGCACGCGGAGGCCCCUCGCAAAGUCUCGCGGCAUUCCGAGUCCGGCGAACGAAGUGGGCCAGCGUCACCCCCCAAGGCUAUAGCCCACCCGUUUUUGUGGCCUUUUUCCGCUGGACGAACUUGGCGCCCCAGCCUUCGGGCAGUUAAUUUUGGGCGCGGCUUUGCCUGCGGCCUAUUUUUGGCACAUGGAGGCCCCUCGCAAAGUCUCGCGGCAUUCCGAGUCCGGUGGACGAAGUUGGCCAGCAUCACCCCCAAAGGCUAUAGCCCACCCGUUUUUGUGGCCUUUUUCCGCUGGACGAACUUGGCGCCCCGGCCGUCGGGCGGUUAAUUUUGGGCGCGGCUUUGCCCGCGGCCUAGUUUUGGCACACGGAGGCCCCUCGCAAAGUCUCGCGGCAUUCCGAGUCCGGCGGACGAAGUGGGCCAGCGUCACCCCCCAAGGCUAUAGCCCACCCGUUUUUGUGGCCUUUUUCCGCUGGACGAACUUCGCGCCCCGGCCUUCGGGCGGUUAAUUUUGGGCGCGGCUUUGUCCGCGGCCCUUUUUUGGUACACGGAGGCCCCUCGCACAGUCUCGCGGCAUUCCGACUCCGGUGGACGAAGUUGGCCAGCAUCACCCCCAAAGGCUAUAGCCCACCCGUUUUUGUGGCCUUUUUCCGCUGGACGAACUUGGCGCCCCGGCCGUCGGACGGUUAAUUUUGGAGGCGGCUUUGCCCCGCGGCCUUUUUUUGGCACACGGAGGCCCCUCGCAAAGUCUCGUGGCAUUCCGAGUCCGGCGGACGAAGUGGGCCAGCGUCACCCCCCAAGGCUAUAGCCCACCCGUUUUUGUGGCCUUUUUCCGCUGGACGAACUUGGCGCCCCGGCCGUCGGGCGGUUAUUUUUGGGCGCGGCUUUGCCUGCGGCCUAUUUUUGGUACACGGAGGCCCCUCGCAAAGUCUCGCGGCAUUCCGAGUCCGGCGGACGAAGUUUGCCAGCCCCACCCCCCAAGGCUAUAGCCCACCCGUUUUUGUGGCCUUUAUCCGCUGGACGAACUUGGCGCCCCGGCCUUCGGGCGGUUAAUUUUGGGCGCGGCUUUGCCCGCGGCCUAUUUUUGGCACACGGAGGCCCCUCGCAAAGUCUCGCGGCAUUCCGAGUCCGGCGUACGAAGUUGGCCAUCGUCACCCCCAAAGGCUAUAGCCGACCCGUUUUUGUGGCUUUUUUCCGCUGGACGAACUUGGCGCCCCGGCCGUCGGGCGGUUAUUUUUGGGCGCGGCUUUGCCCGCGGCCUAUUUUUGGUACACGGAGGCCCCUCGCAAAGUCUCGCGGCAUUCCGAGUCCGGCGGACGAAGUUGGCCAGCCCCACCUGUCAUGACCCAACCCAGACCUGGCAAGAUAUUGUCCGCUUUGGGCCUUAACAAGGCCCGCACGGAUUUGUCCUUGGGGCGCCCAUACACCCCAAAACGCGUCUUGCCAAUUAAGGUGUGGAUCACCCCUUAUAAACCCAGCAUCUCUCCCGUGCUUUGCCGAUGUGGGAUUCCCCUAGGGUGUUACAUACACCCCCCCUUGGGGACUCAGCGUCCUCGCUGAGGUUUGCCCCACCAUCGCUCAAGAGGACACGCGGAGCCGCUCUGAUACCAUAAUGUCAUGACCCAACCCAGACCUGGCAAGAUAUUGUCCGCUUUGGGCCUUAACAAGGCCCGCACGGAUUUGUUCUUGGGGCGCCCAUACACCCCAAAACGCGUCUUGCCAAUUAAGGUGUGGAUCACCCCUUAUAAACCCAGCAUCUCUCCCGUGCUUUGCCGAUGUGGGAUUCCCCUAGGGUGAUACCAUAAUGUCAUGACCCAACCCAGACCUGGCAAGAUAUUGUCCGCUUUGGGCCUUAACAAGGCCCGCACGGAUUUGUUCUUGGGGCGCCCAUACACCCCAAAACGCGUCUUGCCAAUUAAGGUGUGGAUCACCCCUUAUAAACCCAGCAACUCUCCCGUGCUUUGCCGAUGUGGGAUUCGCCUAGGGUGUUACACCACCCCCCAAGGCUAUAGCCCACCCGUUUUUGUGUCCUUUUUCCGUUGGACGAACUCGGGGCCCCGGCCUUCGGGCCGUUAUUUUUGGGCGCGGCUUUGCCCGCGGCCUAUUUUUGGCACACGGAGGCCCCUCGCAAAGGCUCGCAGCAUUCCGAGUCCGGCGGACGAAGUGGGCCAGCAUCCCCCCCCAAGGCUAUAGUCCACCCGUUUUUGUGGCCUAUUUCCGCUAGACGAACUUGGCGCCCCGGCCUUCGGGCGGUUAAUUUCGGGCGAAGCUUUGGCCGUGGCCUAUUUUUGGCCCAUGGACGCCCCUUGCAAAGUCUCGCGGCAUUCCGAGUCCGGCGGACGAAGUGGGCCAGCAUCCCCCCCCAAGGCUAUAGCCCACCCGUUUUUGUGGCCUUUUUCCGCUGGACGAACUUGGCGCCCCGGCCUUCGGGCGGUUAAUUUUGGGCGAGGAUUUGCCCGCGGCCUAUUUUUGGCACACCGAGGCCCCUCGCAAAGUCUCGCGGCAUUCCGAGUCCGGCGGACGAAGUUGGCCAGCCCCACCACCCAAGGCUAUAGCCCACCCGUUUUUGUGUCCUUUUUCCGAUGGACGAACUUGGCGCCCCGGCCUUCGGGCGGUUAUAUUUGGGCGCGGCUUUGCCCACGGCCUAUUUUUGGUAAGCAGAGGCCCCUCGCAAAGUCUCGCGGCAUUCCGAGUCCGGCGGACGAAGUUGGCCAGCCCCACCCCCCAAGGCUAUAGCCCACCCGUUUUUGUGGCCUUUUUCCGCUGGACGAACUUGGCGCCCCAGCCUUCGGGCCGUUAUUUUUGGGUGUGGCUUUGCCCGUGGCCUAUUUUUUGCGCACGGAGGCCUUUCGCAAUGUCUCGCGGCAUUCCGAGUCCGGCGGACGAAGUUGGCCAGCCCCACCCCCCAAGGCUAUAGCCCACCCGUUUUUGUGGCCUUUUUCCGUUGGACGAAAUUGGGGCCCCGGCCUUGGGGCGGUUAUUUUUGGGCACGGCUUUGCCCGUGGCCUAUUUUUGGCACACGGAGGCCCCUCACAAAGUCUCGUGGCAUUCCGAGUCCGGCGGACGAAGUUGGCCAGCCCCACCCCCCAAGGCUAUAGCCCACCCGUUUUUGUGGCCUUUUUCCGCUGGACGAACUUGGCGCCCCAGCCUUCGGGCAGUUAGUUUUGGGCGCGGCUUUGCCCGUGGCCUAUUUUUGGUACACGGAGGCCCCUCGCAAAGUCUCGCGGCAUUCCGAGUCCGGCGGACGAAGUUGGCCAGCCCCACCCCCCAAGGCUAUAGCCCACCUGUUUUUGUGGCCUUUUUCCGCUGGACGAACUUGGCGCCCCGGCGUUCGGGCGGUUAUUUUUGGCUGCGGCUUUGCCCGCGGCCUAUUUUUGGCACACGGAGGCCCCUCGCAAAGUCUCGUGGCAUUCCGAGUCCGGCGGACGAAGUGGGCCAGCGUCACCCCCCAAGGCUAUAGCCCACCCGUUUUUGUGGCCUUUUUCCACUGGACAAACUUGGCGCCCCGGCCGUCGGGCGGUUAUUUUUCGGCGCGGCUUUGCCCGCAGCCUAUUUUUGGCACACGGAGGGCCCUCGCAAUGUCUCGCGGCAUUCCGAGUCCGGCGGACGAAGUUGGCCAGCCUCACCCCCCAAGGCUAUAGCCCACCCGUUUUUGUGGCCUUUUUCCGCUUUACGAACUUGGCGCCCCGGCCGUCGGGCGGUUAUUUUUGGGCGCGGCCUUGCCCGCGGCCUAUUUUUGGUACACGGAGGCCCGUCGUAAAGUCUCGUGGCAUUCCAAGUCCGGCGGACGAAGUGGGCCAGCGUCACCCCCCAAGGCUAUAGCCCACCCGUUUUUGUGGCCAUUUUCCGCUGGACUAACUUGGUGCCCCGGCCGUCGGGCGGUUAUUUUUGGGCGCGGCUUUGUCCGCGGCCUAUAUUUGGCACACGGAGGCCCUUCGCAAAGUCUCGCGGCAUUCCGAGUCCGGCGGACGAAGUUGGCCAGCCCCACCCCCCAAGGCUAUAGCACACCUGUUUUUGUGGCCUUUUUCCGCUGGACGAACUUGGCGCCUGUUGUGAAAAUUUUAACAUACUCGCAAGCGCACGAAUCUAGAGAUAGAAAAGUGGUAACGAGGUCGAUCCCACAGGGAUUGUUAUAAAUUGAAAAGUCUAAUUUAAAUCUAAAAUUAAUAUUAAUUCUAACCUAGUUGAGCAAAUUGAGUUUUAAGAGAAAUUAAACUAAUUAAACUAAGAAAACAAUUAAAGUAAAUGAGAAUUUAAUGAGAUAAAAAUUACCAAG